rnacentral:rRNA from 1 species
UACGUAGGGGGCUAGCGUUGCUCGGAAUCACUGGGCGUAAAGCGCACGUAGGCGGACUCUUAAGUCGGCGGUGAAAUCCUGGAGCUCAACUCCAGAACUGCCUUCGAUACUGAGAGUCUCGAGUCCGGGGGAGGUGAGUGGAACUGCGAGUGUAGAGGUGAAAUUCGUAGAUAUUCGCAAGAACACCAGUGGCGAAGGCGGCUCACUGGCCCGGUACUGACGCUGAGGUGCGAAAGCGUGGGGAGCAAACAGG